CCUACGGGAGACAGCAGUGGGGAAUAUUGCACAAUGGGGGAAACCCUGAUGCAGCGACGCCGCGUGAGUGAAGAAGUAAUUCGUUACGUAAAGCUCUAUCAGCAGGGAAGAAACACUGACCUUAUGACCAGCAGACGGUACCUGAGUAAGAAGCACCGGCUAACUACGUGCCAGCAGCCUCGGUAAUACGUAGGGGGCAAGCGUUAACCGGAUUUAUUGGGCGUAAAGGGAGCGUAGACGGUGCCCCAAGUCUGGAGUUAAAUGCCGCCGCUUAACUGCGGAACUGCUUGGGAAACUGGGGAACUAGAGUGCGGGAGGGGUAAGCGGAAUUCCUGGUGUAGCGGUGAAAUGCGUAGAUAUAAGGAGGAACACCGGUGGCGAAGGCGGCUUACUGGACCGUAACUGACGUUGAGGCUCGAAAGCGUGGGGAGCAAACAGGAUUAGAUACCCCAGUAGUC
rnacentral:rRNA from 1 species